AGUGAACGCUGGCGGUAGGCCUAACACAUGCAAGUCGAACGGCAGCACAGUAAGAGCUUGCUCUUACGGGUGGCGAGUGGCGGACGGGUGAGGAAUACAUCGGAAUCUACUUUUUCGUGGGGGAUAACGGAGGGAAACUUACGCUAAUACCGCAUACGACCUACGGGUGAAAGCAGGGGAUCUUCGGACUUUUCGCGACUGAAUGAGCCGAUGUCGGAUUAGCUAGUUGGUUAGGUAAAGGCCCACCAAGGCGACGAUCCGUAGCUGACCUGAGAGGAUGAUCAGCCACACUGGAACUGAGACACGGUCCAGACUCCUACGGGAGGCAGCAGUGGGGAAUCUUGGGCAAUGGGCGCAAGCCUGACGGAGCAACGCCGCGUGAGUGAAGAAGGUCUUCGGGUCGUAAAGCCCUGUUAUUAGGGAAGAACAGAUGUGUAAGUAACCCUGCACGUCUUGACGGUACCCAAAGAGAAAGCCACGGCUAACUACGUG
rnacentral:rRNA from 1 species